GACGGAUGGCGAACAAAGAAAUGAAGAAAUGCUUCGUUCAGUGAUGAAUGUUGAACGACGAUGAGUGUUGAAUGAUGAUGUUGAAGAUGAAACGCACGAACUCGACGGCGAUGGCGAAGGUUGAUAGAACACGACGGCGAUAGAUUGUGUUUCUGAAUCUGAAACACAACGAAGGUUGAAUGUUGAACGACGAUGAAGGUUGAAGGUUGAACGAACGCAACGACGAGAGAUUGUUUUGUGAAUCUGAAAGUUGCGUACGUGGAUGGGGGUGUGCGUAGCAAUGGAUGGGGUUGCGGGUAGCAAUGGAUUUGGGCUUAUGGACGGUGCAUAAGCUUGGGCUUAUGCACCUUAACCGGACCCAAACAUAUAUAAUAAAAAUCUUUUAUUAUUUUUUUUAUUUUACAAGAAAUAAUAUCUCAAAAAUAUAUAAUAAAAAUCUAACUUUAAAAUUUUAGUGUUGUGCUAUUGUGUUCUCUAAGUUUAAUUUUUUUUUUUAACAUGUAAUCAUCAUUUAUUUUUUUUACGUAAGAAACUUUUCCCUACCAUCAUUCCCUACAUAUAAUUUUUUUAUAAUAAAAAUAUCAUAACAAAAACAAGAGAUAUAAUAUAAUAAUAUAAUAUAAAUAUAACAAUGUGUGGAGGCAACCAUGGUUAAGAGAUGAGAACCAAGUUUAUGUCUCAACAGAAAUUAUUGAGGGUAUGGAGAGAUGACGGUGGCUGAGCUUAUUAAUUAAUAGUAACAACAAUACAUGGAAACGACAUGCUACAACAACUAUUCAAUUAAAGAGAUGCCAUGGAAAUUGUUAAGCUACCAUUAAAUUUCUUGGAACAAGAUGACAUAC
rnacentral:lncRNA from 1 species